AAGUCGAACCUGCGGGAAAGUGCUGUUUAGGAGCUUUGUCUUCUCUACAGAGGCUUUCUUUAGCACUGGUUAGAUUAUAACCCAAACCCUGUUUGUUGUUCAUUUCUUCUGUUCUAAAGGACGUGGCGUAUUGUCUCUUUAUAUGAUGUCUUGGUUUCC
rnacentral:misc_RNA from 1 species